AUUGAACGCUGGCGGCAUGCCUUACACAUGCAAGUCGAACGGCAGCAUGGGUGCUUGCACCUGAUGGCGAGUGGCGAACGGGUGAGUAAUGCAUCGGAACGUACCCCGGAAGUGGGGGGAUAACGUAGCGAAAGUUACGCUAAUACCGCAUAUUCUGUGAGCAGGAAAGCGGGGGAUCGCAAGACCUCGCGCUUCCGGAGCGGCCGAUGUCGGAUUAGCUAGUUGGCGGGGUAAAGGCCCACCAAGGCAACGAUCCGUAGCGGGUCUGAGAGGAUGAUCCGCCACACUGGGACUGAGACACGGCCCAGACUCCUACGGAGCAGCAGUGGGGAAUUUUGGACAAUGGG
rnacentral:rRNA from 1 species